UACGGGGGGGGCAAGCGUUGUUCGGAAUUAUUGGGCGUAAAGAGCUCGUAGGCGGCUUGUCACGUCGGUUGUGAAAGCCCGGGGCUUAACCCCGGGUCUGCAGUCGAUACGGGCAGGCUAGAGUUCGGUAGGGGAGAUCGGAAUUCCUGGUGUAGCGGUGAAAUGCGCAGAUAUCAGGAGGAACACCGGUGGCGAAGGCGGAUCUCUGGGCCGAUACUGACGCUGAGGAGCGAAAGCGUGGGGAGCGAACAGG
rnacentral:rRNA from 1 species